CAAAUCAAUCCAAACCUAUGCAACAGUCAGCUAGACCAAGGAAAAAGAGGAAGAAACCUCACCUUAUUUACCGGGUUUGGGCGGCGGAGGCGACGACGCGGCGUCAGGAAGACUCGGGUUUGAACCAGUAGAUGCCAUCGGCAAUUCACGAGUUUUUCGACGGGGAAAGCUGGCGGGUCUUGACUGGGAUGUCGAGGGGAGUCG
rnacentral:lncRNA from 1 species